UCUGUUUAUUUAAAUUGCCCACAUUGAGAGUUUUAUGCAUUUACGGUUAGGAUUAACUCAAAAUUGUUAUUUAUGCAUAUUUUUUGUUUUAUAUGUUAAUUUCCUGUGAAAAAAUACACAUACAUCUUUUUGUCUCUAUAAGUAUAUAUAUGAGUAGCUUUAUUACAGAAGGCCACAAGCCAGAAGGUGCCAAGAAUACACUUGAAACAUAAAACAUAUUUGGGAAGAUAGAGCAAAAGAUUGUACCAUAUUAUGUAAAUAUGUAUGGGUAAAAGCGGUAAUACUAUUUCUCGUUUUGAGUGGUGUAAUAUAAACAUUUGUACAAUCGACUGUUGAUUAGUAAUAAUCUCUGAAAGGAAAUAGAUAAGAUUUAGAGGUUAGCAGUUAUAGUAACAAAGUUCAUUUCAAAGUAUUGAGUGAUUACCAAAAUCAUUUAGAGUAAAGUUCACUUUGAAUCCUCCAAUCUGUGGAUAGAUUGAUGCCUCCUAACCACCAUUCAGUUGCACCUUCUGGCUUGUUCAGUAGAUUAUGACCAAAAAAUUGAAAAGAAAAGAAAAAAUGGUCAUAGAUGUUUGAGUCAUGAUUGCAUUAGAGAGGAGGUACAGUACAUAACACAGGGCAACAAUGCAGGUGAAGAAAUAUAAAAUGUCUAGAGCCAUUAAUUUCUAACACAAGGUUUAGAUUAUUGUUUCUAAUUAAGCAAACAGUCAACUUCAGGAGGUUUAUUGGCUAUAUGUUUGCAUUGUUAACGUCGUUUUUUUUUUUUAAUUAAUUGAUUUAUUUUUUUGAGUGGUCUGUUUUUUUUCUUUCUUUCUUUCUUUUUCAUCUAUAAUACCCAGUUACUUUCAUGCAAUGCUAAUCACACCUAACCAUGAAGAUAUCAAGAGUUUCUCAUAAGUUACAAAAAUUUAAAUUCAUGGAAUUGGGAAAGAUUAGAAUUAAAUGUCCCAUAUUAUUGUUUUAUUUUGAUCACUAACUCAAUCAUUACCAUUCACUUAUUGAGGAUGAUAAUUAUUUGAAAUCUGAUAGGUUGUUGAUGUUGAUUUUUUGAUAAAUGACCCGGUGAUAAUAUUGUAUUUCAAAUGUUGCUUUUAGCCAGUAUCACUAACUUCUAAAGAGCAUUGUAUCCUUGAUAAAUAAAACUGUAUAGUCCCCUAAACAUUCUCAGAAACCCAUGAAUUAAAUUUAAAAAUAGUACAGAGCCCAAUUUAAAUAUAACAAAGUUGUUCAGGAUCUCCAGAUAUUAACCUGUAGCUGUUCUCAUAAAUUUUCGGUUCCAGUUGCCAAUCACCUAUUUCUUUCUGUCCUGGAGUUAAUGAUCUUAGAUCUAGAAAGUAAUUAGUAGGACUCAAAGUGUAUUAGGUUUGUAUCAGAAAGCUAUAAUGUAGUUCUUCAUGUGUCAGGUACGAGCUUGUGGUCCUCUUGUCCAGAAUUGCUUAUGCAUUUAUAUAAAUAUGCAGUAUACAAAGAGAUGGAUGAAUAUUAAAAAAUGUUUUGCUGAAAAAACUGUGCCUUCAUAUCCUCUGUAUCUCUGAAAGAGAAACCAAUUUUCGUUUUGUUGAAUUUCAACAGGCUGUGCUAUGUCAUGUUCUAGAGGCUGUGUUAUGUCAUGUUCUCAGUGCCGUGUUAUCCAGGAUGCAGCAUUCUUUCUACCACAACUUUCCUCGUGGAAGGACACUUCACCUGCUGGUUUCCAGCCUGCCCAAACAGAAAAUCUGUUCACUCUGUCACAUCCUUCACCCUGUCAACUGCAAGCUCACCUUUUGCCAGGUGAACACUCUCUUCAGCAAGCUGGAUAUCACCAGGCCUCACUCUACCUCAAAGAGCUGAAGAUGAAUUGCAGGAGGACUUCAAAAGUGCUGUCAUUCAGUAAAUCUUUUUAGUGCAUAAUGGAUUUUCUACCAUUGUAUCAGCAUUGUAAAAUGCUUUGUCAUUCAACAAGGAUUCUCUUCAUGGAGUGCUGUGCAGGGAGAACAAAAGUAAAUCACUUGCACCACUUUCUUGUUUGGUAGGAUAGUUACGUAUCUGUGUCAGUAUGAAACUUCAUUAUUCCAUUGUAAAUGCAUACCUCAUUAACCAUAUCAUUAUAUUUGAAUAUCUGAACCCUUUGCAUCUAAUGCUUAUUUGUUGUAAAACCUUGCUAUCUUCCCUUGUUAUCAUUACUGAAGAAUGAGUACACAGGAAAUGUCCAUGCAUCUAAUGGACUAUACUGUUAGUGUGUCCAAGAGAUUCAGUCCUGCUCUCUCUGGGUGCAAAUUACAUUGAGUCAAUAUAUGUGCCAGUGCUCGCCUGCUUCACUCCAUUAUGUAUGUACACAUAUCUUUUUUAUAUACAUUUUAUAUUGAAGAAGUACUUAGAUAAUAAAAUAUCCUUCAUA
rnacentral:lncRNA from 1 species